CCUACGGGGAGCAGCAGUGGGGGAUAUUGCACAAUGGGGGAAACCCUGAUGCAGCGACGCCGCGUGGGUGAAGAAGUAUUUCGGUAUGUAAAGCCCUAUCAGCAGGGAAGAAAGAAGACGGUACCUGACUAAGAAGCCCCGGCUAACUACGUGCCAGCAGCCGCGGUAAUACGUAGGGGGCGAGCGUUAUCCGGAUGCACUGGGUGUAAAGGGAGCGUAGACGGCCGUGCAAGCCAGGAGUGAAAGCCCGGGGCCCAACCCCGGGACUGCGCUUGGAACUGGGCGGCUGGAGUGCGGGAGGGGCAGGCGGAAUUCCUGGUGUAGCGGUGAAAUGCGUAGAUAUCAGGAGGAACACCGGCGGCGAAGGCGGCCUGCUGGACCGCGACUGACGUUGAGGCUCGAAAGCGUGGGGAGCGAACAGGAUUAGAUACCCCUGUAGUC
rnacentral:rRNA from 1 species